rnacentral:piRNA from 1 species
UGCAUGUCUCACAUCUGAUUGGUUAUACUC